ensembl:lncRNA
UGUCUACGAUAAAUAAGUGACGUCUUUUUUUUGUCAAUGAUUUCACAGUCUAGAGUUUUCUCCAUCUUACGUUUGGCACCUCCUCCUGGGUUCUGCACCACGUGAAGGAUGAAUUCUAUAUUCUCAUCCGAUGAAAUGAUACCGUUUGACUGCACAAUCCGAUCUAGCAUUCCAUUAAAAGCCGGUAGAAUAUUUUCACCUUGUUCAUCCACAGCAACUGUAACAUGAUUGUGUACGUUUCAAGAUACAAAUAUUACAGAGCUCUGGGCCAGUUCAUAACCCUAGCAACAACAAAGUCAAUUGUCAGGGCAUGAAGUCUGACGACCUAACUAUCCCUUGACCCAGUCUUAUAUAGAAAGAUAUAUGUAAAUUAUUGAUGCUAAUUCAGUCCAAUCCAGUCCUUCUUCUUGGAUGACCCCAUCUUCUUCUUCCAGCCUCCUUUGGUGUUGGUGUGGUCCUUCUUGUCCAUUAUCUUCUCCAGAUGGCCAGGUCCGAAGUCAUAUUCCUGCCAAGGAACUUAUCAACACCACCUCCUUUGGUGUUGGUGUGGUCCUUCUUGUCCAUUAUCUUCUCCAGAUGGCCAGGUCCGAAGUCAUAUUCCUGCCAAGGAACUUAUCAACACCAGUAAACUACGUUGUCAUGUUUUACGAUGGGGAUCUACCCUUUCCUGUCUGGCUGGCUCCAACUGUCUGACCAGUCUUCAGGUCAAGGAAGGGUCAACUGACUUGCUUUUGUGUAUUCCUACUAAAGAGUAUAUAGUAUUCUUAACUUCUAAACUAACUGUAACAUAAAACAAAACAUAUAGUAUAACACAUGCUAAUAGGAUAAAAGAUGCUAACAAGAUAAAAUAUUUCUCUUCAUCAGGCACAUUUCCCCGAGUGGGAAUGUUAAAGGAGCGUCUUGUUCUCCAUGUGUUAAAAUCAUUAAAAAACCUCUCACCCCGCUCAGGAGAGAGAUCGGAUGGAUUUUCUCCUAGCCCUCCUCCCCCUUGCUGAGGAGAAAGUUUAGGAGGGGCCAUGUGUGUAAGGGGUGAGGGUCUGCUCUCUGACCCCCCUUCUCCUGGCCUCUCAUCCUGUUCAGGAGGCGGGAACUCUACCAAACAACAGGCUCAGGCGAUAUAACUCAUGUUAAGAAUGUUUUUCUCCAGGAGGGCCUCCAGGUCUCCACGGGAUUUAAGCUUCUUCAGUUACACACCUCGGACACCGGAAGACAACGUAGGCCCCUAAAUUUCUUACUUGAGGCCACCAACUCUUUUCUCUUUUCUUCUGAACCACAGUGUUAGGGUUCUAACAGUCUAACUUUCUCCAAUAGUUUUCUCUUCUCUAGUUUUCACAAAUGUUUCACAAAAUGUUUGUUCUGUGGAAGGUUUCUGUUCUGUGUUGUUUCUUUCUUCACAGCCUUCUUCAGUCACACACACCAUUCUCGGUUUGAUCAGUUUCAACACACCCCAGUCAUUGGAAGACAUCGUAGCCGACAACAUAGGCCCCUCACUGGAAGAUUCUUCCCGCUGAUAGAGAAUCAGCUCCCCCGUCUUGUAACGGAACACAUACCCAAAACUCCCUGUUUGACUAUAAGGCUCCAAAGACCAUUCUUGCUGCAAAGGCUCAGAAGGUGACGCCUGAGAACGCUGUACAAACACCGUGGAUUUUUCAACUACUUUUCCACACAAUUCUCUUAUAACGGUCACAGCCGUCUCACCAAUCACGGAUGUAGAACUACUCAUGUUGUCCACAGAUGGCUAUGCCAGGACUAUGGCAAAACUGUUUUGUAACUGUUUUGUAACUGUUGCCCUUAUUAAAAACAGGCGGGCAAGGGAGAAAGGCGGGAAAGGGAGGUGGGGGGGGGGGGGGGACAGAUGUGGGCGGGUUCAGGGAAAGGUCAACCUGUCACUUUGACAAGAAGUACCCCAUUUCUCUCUCUAAUGUCGUCACGUUCUUGGUGUCUGCCUGACUAAAUUUAAAGAAAUCCAUAGAAAAGAUGUGAAAUAACCCCCCUCCCCCAAUUUUCCAGAAACUUACAGUUUAUUCCAACCAAUUAUGAUAUUGAUCCCCCUUCUCAAGGAAAAAUUAAUACUCUCGAAAUUCUAAAUUGUACUUUAAAUGGAUCUUUUCCCUUAUUUAGUGUCUUGUUGUCUUGGAGCUCUCACUGACCAUAUCUUGGUUUCCAUUUUCUCUAGAGCCAAAGCAGAGUUUUAUCUAGGAUCAGCAUCUUCUGUUUGAGACAGAGAAAGACAGACUAGCUGACACUGUACAUGGUGCGAACCAGUGACCUUCCAUUUGCCUUAUAUACCGUCUAGAUACAAAUAUCUCUUCAUAAUUUUCUGGAGCAUGUAAAUGAGUAAACAAGUCUCCUGUAGAUCAGUUCUACAACUUGCAGAAAUUCCACAACACCCUUUAGCAACUCCUUGACUACAAAAUGAAUUUGAUAGAAAUUGAGCGAAGUACAAAGCCUCCACAAAGGUUUCUGUAAGGCUGGCACCAGACGGACACCCUUUGGUGACUGCCGGGUGCCAUUGUUCAUAGUAUAAAAAUAAACAUCAAAACAUUUUAUUUAGGUUGGAUCCAAAUUGAGAAGUUUCAUAGAACUAUAAAACAAUGUAAAAUAACC